CAGGAACAGAGGCUGGACAUUAACUUGGGAUGCAUGUGCUCUAUUGAGCAUAGAAUAGGGACUCAGCCCAUUUAUAGGCCUGUAAUACAGGAGUGAGUAUUUAGUCACAUCCUUUGCUGCAGAUAGAAGUGACAAAUCUUGGGAAAUUGGCUACUACUACUUACAACUCUGCAGUAUCCAAGCAGUUUCAGGAACUUUAAGGAAGAUCAAAUACCCAAGGGGCUGGAUCCUCUCCUGGUGUUAAUCAGCAUAGUUCCAUUAAGUCCCGUGAAACUAUGUCAAGUUCUGCUAUCUACGGAUAUGGCCCCAGGGUUUUAUAACAAGGGUCAGGGAAUUCCUAAUUAAUAUGAAAUUAAUGUUUGCUCCCAAAUUCUCUCUCAUAUACAAUACGCUCAAUUUUUCAGUGAAGAAUCAAGUUGACAUUUGGUAACUGCUUACAUAACAUACCAGGUCGGCUAUUGAAGCCAAUGGCAAAGCUCCCUUGACUGGUAUAAGAGCCGCGCAGGCUGACAUUUAUAAAAUCCGAGCAACACUUGAUUGAGCUGGAGAGGGCCUCUGGGGGUCUCACACAAGCCCCUGGUUGAAGUUUCCAGGCCUCAGAUUGUUUUUUUCCCCCUGUGGGGUUGGGACAAAGGAGCCACUAGUUCACCUACUCGUGAGGGCUGCCAGAGCUUUUACAAGAGGAACCUCACAUGAGUAAACCAGCUUCUGCACACUAGUGGCACCCGGAGGAAUGGGAGCUGGUGCCAGCAAAAGCUACAAGACAACCCCAGCUGCUGCUGAAAAAUACGGCUGGCAGCUCCAGAAGCUGAGGAAAGUUGCAUCUAGCAAGGGCUGGGAGGACAGGCAGUGUGGUGGACUGCUUGAGGACUGGGUGACAUGGCAGAGGCCUCCAGGCUGGCUGAACAAUGGCUAUAAGCAAACGCCUAGAGCUGACUGUGCCACUUAGAAAACUUCAGGGAGCAAAAGAUAUAAUGGUGACCUAAAAUUGAAAUUGACCCCCAUUUCUGCAAAGACUUUCACACAUGCUUGGCAUUAUGCCUCUCCCAGCACAACCGGACUCCAACCCUACAUAAGAUUUUUGGACACUAUUCAGAUGUUCCUAUUCAGGACCAGCUCCAGGAACCAGCGAAGGAAGCAGGUGCCUGGGGCGGCCAAUAGAAAGUGGCGGCACUCUGUCCGUGAUUGGGGCGGCACGUCCAGGUCUCUUCGACGGCAAUUCGGUGGCAGCUCCCCUUCUUCUUCUUCCAUGGCACUUCGGCGGCAGCUCAAUCAGAUUUUUCUUUUUCUUUUUCUGUUUUUUCUUCGCCGCUUGGGGCAGCAAAAAAGCUGGAGCCAGCCCUGUUUCUACUGAAGUAUCCACAGUGAUCUUUUCCUGAUCUGUUGAAGCCAAUUUAAGACUGAUCUGAGUGUAUGUGUAGUUUAAAUUUCUCCUUCCAAUGCUUUACACCUGACCUGUCUGCAUUAAAUUUUAUCUGCCAUCAAAUAAAACAUCCUGUUUAUCAGUUA